rnacentral:rRNA from 1 species
GCUGACCAGACGACCAAAACACAAACAUACAAACACCACACAACAAACCAUUUGUCCCACCCAGUAGUUGCGAUCGAACAGUUACAAGUCACAAUAAAGUACCGUAAGGGAACCGCACAAGCAACAAAUAGCAAAGAUUAAAUCUUGUACCUUUCGCAUCAUGGUCUAGCAAGUAUACAAGGACAAGAAGAAUCACAGCCCACACCCCGAAACCGGAUGAGCUAUUUUCAAGCAGUCUAACGGACGCAUCCUUCUCUGUAGCAAAAGAGUGGAAAGACUUAAAAAUAGAGGUGAAACGCCUAUCGAAUUCGGAGAUAGCUGGCUACCCCAAAUAGGAUCUAAGUCCUACUUUAGGUAUCAACAUAACCAAUAAUUUCGCCUAAAGAUAAUCAAUAGAGGUACAGCUCUAUUGAAACAGGAUACAACCUGAAUUUGCAAGAAAACAUAGUUUACUCACCCGUAGGCCCUAAAGCAGCCACCCCUAAAAAUAUCGUCAAAGAAUUAAAUAAAAUAAACCCAACACUAACCCUAAACUUCAAACUAACUAAAGGUGGACCUACACAAGUAGAUAUCAUUAUGCUAAAACUAAUAAUAAGAUAAAAAUCUCUUAACGCACCUACCUGCUAGAAACAGAAAAACUACUAGUCAAUAACAGACCACAAAAGGUUAACAACAAACCCAUACACAUCUUUAAACUAACUGUGACCCCAACACAGGAGCGUUAAAAAGAAAGAUCAACCAUUAUAAAAGGAACUCGGCAACCAAGAACCCCAACUGUUUAACAAAAACAUAACCUUUAGCCAAACAAGUAUUAAAGGCAACGCCUGCCCAGUGAAUAAUUAAACGGCCGCGGUAUCCUAACCGUGCAAAGGUAGCAUAAUCAUUUGUCUAUUAAUUGUAGACCCGUAUGAAAGGCAAAAUGAGGGUUCAACUGUCUCUUAUAAUACAUCAAUUAAACUGAUCUUCUAGUACAAAAGCUAGAAUACUAACAUAAGACCAGAAGACCCUGUGAAGCUUUAACUAAACUAUUAAACCACUUAAUAACUACUUUCGGUUGGGGCGACCUUGGAAUAAAAAAGAACUUCCAAAUAUCAACAUUACAUUAAAGGCAGACAAGCCCACAUAAGACCCAGCAUAGCUGAUAAUUGAACCAAGUUACUCCAGGGAUAACAGCGCUAUCUUCUUCAAGAGCCCAUAUCAAAAAGAAGGUUUACGACCUCGAUGUUGGAUCAGGACAUCCUAGCAAUGCAACCGUUACUAAGGGUUCGUUUGUUCAACGAUUAAUAGUCCUACGUGAUCUGAGUUCAGACCGGAGUAAUCCAGGUCAGUUUCUAUCUAUGACACAGCCCUGCCUAGUACGAAAGGACCGGCAUAGCAAAGCCAAUACCACAUGCACGCUUUAACUACAAAAUACUCACAAUUAAAACGGACCAUACUCUUAGCCUAGACAAGGCUAAUUAAGAACCACCGUAUCUUA